rnacentral:rRNA from 2 species
AGUAAGGAAUAUUGGUCAAUGGACGCAAGUCUGAACCAGCUAUGCCGCGUGAAGGAUUAAGGUCCUCUGGAUUGUAAACUUCUUUUAUCUGGGACGAAAAAAGGUCUUUCUAGACCCCUUGACGGUACCAGAUGAAUAAGCACCGGCUAACUCCGUGCCAGCAGCCGCGGUAAUACGGAGGGUGCAAGCGUUAUCCGGAUUCACUGGGUUUAAAGGGUGCGUAGGCGGGCAGGUAAGUCAGUGGUGAAAUCCUGGAGCUCAACUCCAGAACUGCCAUUGAUACUAUCUGUCUUGAAUAUUGUGGAGGUAAGCGGAAUAUGUCAUGUAGCGGUGAAAUGCUUAGAUAUGACAUAGAACACCCAUUGCGAAGGCAGCUUACUACGCAUAUAUUGACGCUGAGGCACGAAAGCGUGGGGAUCAAA